GAUGAACGCUAGCGGCAGGCUUAACACAUGCAAGUCGAGGGGUAUUUAUCUUCGGAUAGAGAGACCGGCGCACGGGUGCGUAACGCGUAUGCAAUCUACCUUUUACAGAGGGAUAGCCCAGAGAAAUUUGGAUUAAUACCUCAUAGUAUAUAGACUCGGCAUCGAGAUUAUAUUAAAGUCACAACGGUAAAAGAUGAGCAUGCGUCCCAUUAGCUAGUUGGUAAGGUAACGGCUUACCAAGGCUACGAUGGGUAGGGGUCCUGAGAGGGAGAUCCCCCACACUGGUACUGAGACACGGACCAGACUCCUGCGGGAGGCAGCAGUGAGGAAUAUUGGACAAUGGGCGCAAGCCUGAUCCAGCCAUGCCGCGUGCAGGAUGACGGUCCUAUGGAUUGUAAACUGCUUUUAUACGAGAAGAAACACUGCUACGUGUAGCAGCUUGACGGUAUCGUAAGAAUAAGGAUCGGCUAACUCCGUG
rnacentral:rRNA from 1 species